UACGAAGGGGGCUAGCGUUGUUCGGAAUCACUGGGCGUAAAGCGCACGUAGGCGGACAUCUAAGUCAGGGGUGAAAUCCCGAGGCUCAACCUCGGAACUGCCCUUGAUACUGGGUGUCUUGAGUAUGGUAGAGGUUGGUGGAACUGCGAGUGUAGAGGCGAAAUUCGUAGAUAUUCGGAGGAACACCAGUGGCGAAGGCGGCUCACUGGUCCAUUACUGACGCUGAGGUGCGAAAGCGUGGGGAGCAAACAGG
rnacentral:rRNA from 1 species